GCCCCGCAAGCCCAGGCAAGUCCUCGCAGUGCGAGCCCAGCGGCCCAGCGACCCCAGUUCCGGGCCCGCGGCACUGCCGGCGGCGUCCCCAGCUCCGGAGUUUGUCCGGGCCCGGGCCACUCGGGGCCAGGAAGGGAGGGGCGCCGCGGGUGACUCAGCCGCCGUGACUCGGCCGCCGUGACUCGGCGGAACGGACGCCGCGCCUUCCCUCCCCUGGCGACACGUGCUCGCCGCCCCUCGACAGGAAAUGGGCACCUGCAGCUCCCCAAGUGCCCCCAGCCUGCAGUGGGCGCCGUUCGGUGCCGAGGGCAGGGGCGCGCGAGCUGUCCCUGGCGUCCGCCCCGGCACCUGGCCCAGUCUCUGUCUGAGUCCUUCCGCCACGGGGUGGACAGCCGGCCACCGGGAGCCCAGAGGGUCCCACCGCCCCGGAGCCCGGCUGCACCGCGCAGAGGAGGGGGCUGGAACCUGACGUCGCGGUAGACGGGGGCGGACACACAGGAGGUCACCGACAGAUCCCGCCUUCCUGCUGCGUCCAGGGGUUCCCGACGUAUCCCAGGCGCGGGAUGCCAAGGGGGAGACGUCUGCUGACCGCCCGGGGCUGGGACAUAGCCCGGACGUCAUACGUCCCUUCCGAGGCGGGCGGGACGCACAAAUGAGCAGUGGACCGCAGGUGCGGCCGAGGAUUCCCCCGCGGACUUACGCACCUGCCGGGAGCCUGCGAACCCGCUCGACCUGGGCCGGCCUCGGCGAAAUAGAACGAAGCCGACGCGUAGCAACCUUGCCACGCCGGGGAGGCUGGGAUGAAGAACGUGGACCCGCUGGAAGCCGCCAAAUGGAUGAGAAAAAAAAAGAAAAAGAAAAAAAAACCACACGUGGUACCUAAUUCUGGCUCUCACGAUUUGCUG